rnacentral:tRNA from 1 species
CAGAGCGUAGUGUAGUUGGUAACAUAUUUGCUUUGGGUGUAAAAGUUCGUAGGUUCGAAUCCUACCGUUCUGA